rnacentral:rRNA from 1 species
ACCCGCUGAACUUAAGCAUAUCAAUAAGCGGAAAAACAACAGGGAUUGCCUCAGUAACGGCGAGUGAAGCGGCAACAGCUCAAAUUUGAAAUCUGGCCUCUUUGGGGUCCGAGUUGUAAUUUGUAGAGGAUGUUUCGGGUACCGCCUCGGUUUAAAUUUCUUGGAACAGAAUGUCAAAGAGGGUGAGAAUCCCGUCUUGGACCGGCGGUAGGGCCCAUGUGAAACUCCUUCGACGAGUCGAGUUGUUUGGGAAUGCAGCUCAAAAUGGGUGGUAAAUUUCAUCUAAAGCUAAAUAUUGGCCAGAGACCGAUAGCGCACAAGUAGAGUGAUCGAAAGAUGAAAAGCACUUUGAAAAGAGAGUUAAACAGUAUGUGAAAUUGUUGAAAGGGAAGCGCUUACAACCAGACUUGCGCGCGGCGGUUCCCCCUUCCUUUUGGUUGGGCUACUCCGUCGUGUCCAGGCCAACAUCGGUUCUGGGGGUCGGUUAAAGACCCUGGGAAUGUACCUACCCUUCGGGCGUAGACUUAUAGCCCAGGGUGUCAUGCGACCUCCCGGGACCGAGGAACGCGCUUCGGCUCGGAUGUGCGUAUGGUUCAGCGACCCGUCUUGAAACACGGACCA